CUACGUUCAAAUAAAAUUAAUCAUAAUAAUACAUGACUGACAAAAGGUUAAAUGUGUGAUCUAAACCAUUCAUCACUAAUUUUUUACAUAUAUUUAUCAUCAAACAUAAAACUCAAAAUCAUUCAUAUGUACAUAUAUGUGUUACAAACUAACAAGAGAUUUUAUUUUAAGCCAGGGAUGUUCCCCCUAGUACACGCCAAAAAAAAAAGAGAAUUUGUUGGACAAUCUCACGAAACAGUAUAUACAUAAACAUAAGUAACCGGGGUUAAUAACACUAGAAAUAUUUGGAAUAUGAUACAUAUAUAAGGUGGAAUGAUGUAGAACGAAUGAAAAUCAUUCUUUCUUUUUUUUUUCCAUAAUUACAUUCAACAUUCCUUUCACCUUGUAUCAUCUCAUGAUCCAAACAUAUCUUAACUUUUCUUAUUCAAGGAUUAAAACAUUCAACAAGCAUGUAAAGUGAAGCCUCCGAAAAUAGCAACCUAGGCUUGAAAAAUUGCACAGUUGGAGCUAACCAAGUUGAAGUCAUGUUGUUCUUUGGUGAGACAGUAGAGUGAGUACUCUGAAUCUGAUCUUUUUCCUUUUCUCUGAGUUUGGACAUCUCAUUUGUCCAUAUAUCCACAAGUCCAGAGAUCACUAUUAUAAAGACAAAAAAGCACUUAUAAAAAUUGGUAAGCAAAAUAGUACUUGAUAAAGCUCAAAAUUAGGAAGGAAAGACACUAGUGGAUGUUUGAUUUGAAUUUGUUUGAAGUUGAAUGACAUAUAUAUAUAAGGAUUAGAAAUUCAUUCGGUUAAGUAAUAAAAUAUGUAACUUAAUGGUUGAGCUGAAAUAGUGGAAAGUAUUUUAUCUAUUAUAAUAAAUAAAGCUAGUGAUACCGUGGUACUAUCAAGAUACUACUAGUAUAAAGAAACAACUUGCGCCACCAAUAUAAAAGUGGUUUUUACAUUUAACUUUGCAAACAAAUAUCUGUUGGCUCAUUUAGAUNNUACGAGGUUUUGCAUUAACAGCGGCAGGGAGAAGAGUCUCGUACUAUGUCUCAUCUCAUCUAUGCCAGGUGUGUUGUGUAAGGAUGAUAAAUAUAUGCUUAUCCUUAUCUUUAUGAUGAUAUACAUGAAAAUUUCAUGCAUAUGAAGAAAUCUAGUCCUACGAUUAAGUACUCCUUCCGUCCCAAAAUAUAAGCAAAAAGUGGUCAACAAAAGUGAAUGUAUUUAGUCCAAAUUUUUAACCAAAUACAUCAAGUUUCUUUGACUCACUUUUACUUAUAUUUUGGGACGGAAGGAGUAGAUCAUAUAAGAAACUGCAGAAAAGGCUUUUUGAAAACCAACAUUUUAUGGAUUGGUACUGGUUUUUCUAAUUUCAUAAAUUAAAAUACUAAAAUGGAAACAUUUUUAAAACUAAGGUCAUCUUGUAACACUGAUGAUAUCAUAGCUUGGAUCAUUGUAGAGAUAUUAUGAUAUGAACAACCAAAUUAGAUUUUCUUAUUUUAUUUUUAUUGGUUGGAGCAAAUGCCAUACAAAGUUCCUUCCUUCUAUAGGGGAACACAAAAAGAGCACUAUAAUGGUAAGAGUACCUGAAAGUUACAAAACAGUUCAAAUAUGAAUCACCAACCCAAUCUUGGGUAGGAUGGAAUACAUUCCAUUACAUAAUAAAAGAAAGCGCAGUUGAUUAUUUGACCUAUAUCUAUUACUAUAUAAAUAAUACAAUGGAUAUAUAAAUAUUACAUGGAUAUGUGCAACUGAUGCUGGACUUCAGUUUUGGUAAAAUGUAAUGCUCCAGCCAAAACAAUGAUUGGAUAAUCCACAGCGUCUUUUCUUUAGGCCUUGACAAGAACUGAGGAUUCAAAACAUACUUCUCAAUGAAUAUGGCAGUGGAAGCUUGAGAUGUUCAAAGCUGCAGUACGCAUUGUUUACAUCAGAAGAGAAGGCACAAAAUUUUUUACAUACCCCACGAGACCAACUGUGAGCCUUGGACUUCUCUGGAGCAAGUCAUGGGGUGGCAGAUGCAACCCCGCAACCAAGGUGUGAAAUGAUAACUCUGCCAGGACAAAUGCUGAAAUCAAAGGGAUGGCAUAAUCUAAACAGACUACAGUUUGGUUUCAGCCAUGCUUAGAUUACUGAUUGGGAUCAUUGGUAGAAUUCACGAUAUGCCCAGACUAAUGGGACCUGCAAAAACAUCGGAGUGGGGUCUUCCUUAUCACAAGGAAAUAAUCACACCAAAGGUCCUAUUCCUCACCUUGAUCAACUGAACAAUGCCAGAGGCUAGUUCUUGCAUGAUAUUGGGAAUGGAACUUCAAUUUAAGAUGUUCAAGUAUGAGAAACCUCUUGAAACCUCAAAUCCAGGGUGUCCAACCUUCGUACAUGUUGCAAAGAUUAUCUGCACUAGUAGCUUGCUUUAGUAGAUAAUCUACUUGCUCUGCAAUACUAAUUUCUCUGAAAUUCAAAGAAGGUUCUGUAUCAGUGAAAAAAUUCAGCAGAAGAUUGAAUUCCAAAAAGAGCUAUAUAUAUAUACCCAUACCUGCGUUCAGAAAUAUCUCGACCAUCAAUUUUCAUCUCAACCCGCCUCAAUACUGACAAGGCAUAAGCAUUUUUGCCUAGAGAUAAGUGCAAACAAAAGAGCAUAUCAAUUUUAUUUCCAGGCAAUUUUAAAUUACAUAAAACUUUACGAAAUCAAAUGAACAUAAAUAUUAUGUGGUGGGUGUAAAAGAUUGCUGGCUGUUCCUGUCUAACACAUUGGUAAACAUUGCCACCAUUUCCCCUUGUCUGGUUUUCCUAGUUCAGGAAUAUAUUUGGGUGUCGCUAGAACAAUCGUCAAAACUUAGUCUAGAGAUUCAGAUAACCAUUAAUGCAAACCUACCUGUAGGUCACCCAAACCCUUGGUCCAUUUUCAAAUUUAGACUGAAUGAUAAAGAGAAGGUCUGCACAGUAAGUUGGUCUCUUCCAAAAUAAAGGGUUUUGUAGAGAAUUAAAAUGAAAGAUAAAUCAUAAUUUCAUAAAGACUCCAACCAAUUCCCAGAUAACAAAAAUCAAAAGAAUGCAGGGUUGGGUAAAGAAACAAAAGGUAAAAUAAAUCAUAAAAAUUAGUCCUCUUUACAUUUAAGUAAAAUAAAACACCUCAAGAUUUAGUGUUGACUUUGCAAAAACUUUAUAGAGGAUAAUUCUUCUGAAUUCUUCCUGACAUGAUUAGCUCUUAACUAUACAGGAUAAUUCUUCUGAAUUCUUCAUACUAAAACCUAGCGUAAGUGGUUUAAGUCCUUUAGAGUAAUANNNNNNNNNNNNNNNNNNNNNNNNNNNUCUCUCAUAAUAAAUAAGGGCAUAAGUGAAAUUGAACAUUUAAAACAUUUGAAAAUUGGUCAAAGUUUCUUAUAAAAAGGACCAAAUUUUUUGCCCUAAGUGUUUCUUAUAAAAAGGACCGGAGGGAGUACAUCUUUUCUUUUAAUUUGAUAUAGGUAAUAUCAAUUUUAUAAGGUUCUUAUUUUUUCACCGGUUCAAAAUGAAAUCCCAAGUAAUUAUUUUACAAUGUGAAGUUUUUUUGGUCUUAACCCUCUGGUUCCCAAGGAAGGGGGCCCUUGUAAUUGUAGUUUGGCCAGGAGGUAAGUAAAGUCUAGUUCUCUUGAACAAUUCGUCCUUAGAUGGAGCUCAAUCAUUGGGUUACUAAUGUGAGAUUUAUAUCAAACUAGCGGGACAGGCAGGCGCGUUCCGCGCCUAUCUGUGUUUAACUUAUGUCCAAAAGAAAAAUACAUAUAUGUCUUAUGUUACGGUGAGUUUUCCUUCAAAAAAAAAAUGUUACGAUGGGUUUGAUAAUAAAAUAUUUUUCUGCAAAACUCAUGUAUUAUCUUUAUAUAUAGUAUAGAAAAGGAAAUAAAACCACUAAACACUUUGUGCACCGAAGUUAGUUUUAAUUAUGAUAUUUGAGAGCAGUUUUUUUUUGGACUAUUGAUCAAUGGAAGUUUUUGAAGGGUAAAAUUGGCAAUAAGAAAAGUCCAGCCCAAACUCAUCUAUCAUUUUUAUAUAUUAGUAUAGAUGAAACGUGACAAGAAAUAAAUAGUUGAAAAAAGACUUUAGAUAUACCUCUUCCUACUCGAGUACUGAUGUUGAUGUCAGCAUCGGGAGUUUCUCGGUGUUCUGUGCCAUUCUUACCUUUAACUGUAGAAAGCAGAUCAUCUUCACCAUCAAAUUUGUCUAAGUUCUCAUUCGAUGGAUUCUGAGAGACAGAAGAACUGGCAACAGAUUUAUCACUGUGAAAAGGCAUAGCUUUGGGAUGUUCAGUGGCCUCAUUAGUUAACAUCACAGAAUCAGCACCAUCAAGAUCAGCUUCCAGGGGAAAAGAUUUUGACUCCUCAAAAAGUGAGAUUUCUUCAACAUCAAUUUGAGAUAAUGAAGUGGUAUGUAAAUGACCGAUAAGGUUUCUGCUACUAGACACCUGUGAAAGCAUAUCUGUAUUUUCUGCUAAAUCAUUCAAGCUAUCAGGAAGACUAAUGUCAGCAGAUGUAAUGUCAGAUCCUGAGCUGCUACAAAAGCUGCUAUCUGGUGGUGAUAUCCAUCCUUUUUCUUCUAAAGAAAGUUGAGAAAAGCCAAUAAUAUCUUCUGUCUUAUCAUCAUCAGACCUAGAGAGACUCUCCCCUUCUUUACCAUUGAACUCAACAGCGUCACCAACACCAGCAUCUGAUGUAGACAAAGCAAUAUCCUGUGAUUUUACUUCCUGACUUUCUCCUAUUCCUUCAAGAGCCUGAAAACAAAGAGCACGGAUCUAUAUUUGUUCUUUCAAAAUAUGAGCAAAAAAUAAAAUCCCUAGACAGCUUUUCUGUGUGGAUUUCCUGGUGUAAGCGCGCUCACACACACACACACAGAUAUAUAUAU
rnacentral:lncRNA from 1 species